UACGGAGGGUGCGAGCGUUGUCUGGAAUCACUGGGCUUAAAGGGCGCGUAGGCGGGCUUGCAAGUCUGUGGUGAAAUCCUCCAGCCCAACUGGAGAACGGCCGUGGAUACUGCGAGUCUCGAGGGAGGUAGGGGCGUGCGGAACAGAUGGUGGAGCGGUGAAAUGCGUUGAUAUCAUCUGGAACUCCGGUGGCGAAGGCGGCACGCUGGACCUCAUCUGACGCUGAGGCGCGAAAGCUAGGGGAGCAAACGGG
rnacentral:rRNA from 1 species